rfam:Oryza sativa Japonica Group DNA, chromosome 12, cultivar: Nipponbare, complete sequence.
CAAAAAAACAAACCCUGGUUUCCGUGUCCAAUGUUUGACCGUCCGUUUUAUUUAAAAAAAUUAUGAAAAAAAUUAAAAAGACAAGUCACGUAUAAAAUAUUAAUCAUGUUUUAUCAUCUAACAAUAAUAAAAAUAUAAAUUAUAUAAAAAAAUCAUAUAAAACGGAUAGUCAAAGAUAGACAUUAAAACUCAGAGUUUAACUUUUU